AUACGUAGGGGGCGAGCGUUGUCCGGAAUGAUUGGGCGUAAAGGGCGCGUAGGCGGCCCGGUAAGUCUGGAGUGAAAGUCCUGUUUUUAAGAUGGGAAUUGCUUUGGAUACUGUCGGGCUUGAGUGCAGGAGAGGUAAGUGGAAUUCCCAGUGUAGCGGUGAAAUGCGUGGAGAUUGGGAGGAACACCAGUGGCGAAGGCGACUUACUGGACUGUAACUGACGCUGAGGCGCGAAAGUGUGGGGAGCAAACAGGAUUAGAUACCCUGGUAGUCCACACUGUAAACGAUGAAUGCUAGGUGUAGGGGGUAUCGACCCCUUCUGUGCCGCAGUCAACACAAUAAGCAUUCCGCCUGGGGAGUACGGCCGCAAGGUUGAAACUCAAAUGAAUUGGCGGGG
rnacentral:rRNA from 1 species